rnacentral:rRNA from 1 species
GCGAUUGCNUUAGUAACGGCGAGUGAAGCGGCAAAAGCUCAAAUUUGAAAUCUGGUACCUUUGGUGCCCGAGUUGUAAUUUGGAGAGUACCACUUUGGGACUGUACUUUGCCUAUGUUCCUUGGAACAGGACGUCAUGGAGGGUGAGAAUCCCGUGUGGCGAGGGUGUCAGUUCUUUGUAAAGGGUGCUCGAAGAGUCGAGUUGUUUGGGAAUGCAGCUCUNAGUGGGUGGUAAAUUCCAUCUAAAGCUAAAUACAGGCGAGAGACCGAUAGCGAACAAGUACAGUGAUGGAAAGAUGAAAAGAACUUUGAAAAGAGAGUGAAAAAGUACGUGAAAUUGUUGAAAGGGAAGGGCAUUUGAUCAGACAUGGUGUUUUGCGCCCCUUGCCUCUCGUGGGCUUGGGACUCUCGCAGCUCACUGGGCCAGCAUCGGUUUUGGCGGCCGGAAAAAACCUAGGGAAUGUGGCUCUGCGCCUCGGUGUAGAGUGUUAUAGNCCCUGGGGAAUACGGCCAGCCGGGACCGAGGACUGCGAUACUUGUUAUCUAGGAUGCUGGCAUAAUGGUUGCAUGCCUAGGG